CCCCCGUCGCGCCCUGCUGCCGCACCGCAUAAUUCGCCGGCACACCACCUGGACAGUCGAGAGCCACCGCCAUCAACAUGCCUGCACCCAGCCGUCAUGACCAACUUCACGACGAUGCCCCUGGCAUCCUGCUCGCCAUCGCCGCCUGCUGGAUCGGACAACCUCACCUUGACGGUAACGUCGACGGCUCGGUCGUGCCCCCACACCUCCCGUGUCUGCGUGUUCGCUGCGCCCGGACGCCCACGCACUGCGCCCUGGAUCUCAACGUGCUGGCUCACCUGAAGGUCAGAUCCCGUCCUUUUUCAUCUCUGCAGCUUCUCGCCGUGCAGACCUCGCCCUUCGCCUCUGACCUCCUCCAGCGUCUUUCCUCCUUUCAACUGGUCGCUUACAACCUUGGCGGUUGCCCAAGGCCACCAUGCUUUGAAAUUAGUCAUUCGUGGCAUAUUAGAGAGACAGACUAAUUACUUUUCCUGUUGUGUUCACUGAAUACAAGUACGUUUCAAAAGGAUUUGGUGUUGCAAGCUUUGGGUGGAUGUGAAUUCGAAGAUGCAGUAUAGGGGUGUUGGCUGACGGCGAGAACUGCACCGAAGUGCACGGUCGCAAAUCUGGUCGGCCUCCUCAGGAUGUGGACAGCAACAAUAGAUGGCUGGACCCCAACCCCUUAUAUCCUGGUGCUAAUUCCUAUUUUUUUAUGGAUUGAACUCUCUAAUCAUCCCAUGAUUUUUGGCUUGGGGGCUGUGCUUAUCAGUUUCAGGCUUAAGUUGCUGGUCAUGCUUGCAGCCAUGUCGCUUGAUGCCUGGAUGGUGUGUACGGGCUGAACGAGUUCACCACACAAAUUCUUGGUAUGCUGCUGUCGUAUACUUAUUAGUACUUACAUAUACAUUUGGCCGAUUUUAUUUUGCUUGGCUUGAAAUAUUAACAGCUUCUUGCUCAUACUAUUACUGUCAACAGCUGGGUAGACUAUACUGCUGUGUGUACUAGAGCUUAGCCGGUGAACUGUAAUAGAAAUUUAUAGAAUGAGUCCCAAGAAGAUGCAAUGUGUGUGUUCAUAUUAUUUAUGUUCUCUGUUCAAUACUACAUGCACUAUCUCUGCUUGAUUUAAAUUCCAUUUUACUUUUGUCACCAAUAGUAGCAUUAAAAUUCAAAGAAAAUUCAUCCGUUUGUUUGUUGGCUUAACAAUGGAUACUGUCAUACAAUCCACUUAAGAAUAUACCAAUUGCUAAGGCUAGCUCUUCCUAAUUCCUUGCGUCACAUAACUACUAGACAGGUCCCGUUUGGUUUUAUUUGAUUUAAGGAUUUGGUUUUCCUUCACUGUAAUGGAUGUGUAAAGCUUUGAAUUUAAUGACCAUGUUUGUUUUGAGUGAAGCU